AUGUACAUGCCUACAACAUAGCAUUAAUGCAACAGAUCCCAUUAGAACUCUGUAGUUAAGCACACUCAGGCUAGAGUAGUACUCGGAUGGGUGACUAGCUGGGAAGUCCUAGUGUUUUACAUU
rnacentral:rRNA from 1 species